ensembl:lincRNA Gm14268 predicted gene 14268
GGGGCUGGCAGGAAGAGGUGCCUCCCAGAGGCAGGAGCAAUGGUGGCGGCGGCGGCAGCAGCAGCAGCAGCAGCUUUGAGGAGAACCUGAGACUUGGCAAGGGAAAAUCUUGGUAACACACUGUAACAGGGCUGAAAGCACGGAAUACGUGAACAUCCUAAACCUACAUCCUCACUGUUGCCUCCAUUAUCCUGGGACUGCAUACACAGUUGAACCCAGCUAGAUAGGAGGGCCAUGUGCAGGUGAGCGGCGAAGGUCCCUCCCCCUUCACAGCUCCAUCUUUGAUGUCAAGACACAGAUGUGAUCACCUCUGUUGUCCAGAUCACUUCUGUUUCCCAUUGUCACCCCAGCCUUAGCCCAAGGUCUCUCCAGCUAUAUGAAUGUUAGCUCCAUGUUCCACCAUGGUGGGCCUGGAGGAGGAGGCCCAUCAUUUCCUAAUAUCGAACAGGCAUCAUGGAUCCAGGUCCUCAGCUCCAGGCCUUUCCCACGCCUGGCUCCACAAGCUGCAAGGCCAAAGGGCAGAAGGGAAAGCCCCAAAUCUUCCAGCCCAGGAACAGUUCCCUGCAUCCUGUUUUUCUGUGAUGUCACUGAAACAGCUCGGAGCCCUGCCAGGGAGCCCGAGAAGCCCCAUUUGUCAUCCUGAAUCUCUAGGAGUCUCUGGAAAAGCAGAGUGCAUGAGGCUGACAGUUCCCAGUGGCCCCAUAGCAGGCUCCACGUGCAGGACCAUUGUGAUGUGUGUUUCGGGGUCCAGUUGUGGUUCUGAGUCCUCCGCUUCCUCCCUCUCGGGGUGUCCAGAUGCCUUUGCACACCGGG